rnacentral:tRNA from 1 species
GCGCCCGUGGUGAAAAGGAUCUCAUAUCUGUCUUCGAAACAGACGUUCCAGGUUCGAUUCCUGGCGGGCGCA